rnacentral:rRNA from 1 species
UACGUAGGGGGCAAGCGUUGUCCGGAAUCAUUGGGCGUAAAGAGCUCGUAGGCGGUUCGGCAAGUCGGAUGUGAAAUCUCCACGCUCAACGUGGAGGGGCCAUUCGAAACUGCCGUGACUCGAGUCCGGUAGGGGAGUGCGGAAUUCCCGGUGUAGCGGUGAAAUGCGCAGAUAUCGGGAGGAACACCAGUGGCGAAGGCGGCACUCUGGGCCGGAACUGACGCUGAGGAGCGAAAGCGUGGGGAGCGAACAGG